AUGACUUUCUAAUAUAAUUUCUCAUAAAGACAAGUUGUUUUUUUCAAUAAACGUUGGUUACAUUUCUUUAUGUUAUUUGUACCACUAACCGGAUCAGCCUCGUGAAAACCUUAUAUUCCCUGAUGAGGUUCUACCACGUGGAAAGGCUCUUUAAUAGAACUUUAGCCUUAGCUGGUCAUGACCAAGAAAGCACUGGAUUCAUGUGGCACAGUGUGCUUAUAUUUUGAUCUCACUUGAAUCAGUCUUUGCACAAGAAAUACUUGGGUUAUGCUCACAGCUUGAAGCCAGAUGAAGUGUGACGAUGGCAUAUGAAUUUGAGUCAUUGAUAUAAAUGUUGCAUCAUUGGGAUUUGUUGCAA